GGCCGGCUCUCCUCGUGCGGCGGCGGCAGAGAAGCGAGCGCAGCGGCCAGCAGCACAUUCCCGCGCCACCGUCGCCGCAGUCGCCACAGCCGCCGCCGCCGCCGCCGCCGCCCCCCGCCUCGCCGGCCUGCCAGUGAGAGAGCGGCCAGCGGCCUCCCGCUAGGCCCCCUGAGGCGGGCGCCCGGCCGGACCCUGAGCCUAGUCCUCUCGCGCUGCGGCCGCCCGCGCCUCCUCGGCCGCCUGUCGGGCAUGAAAACCAAAUUCUGCACCGGGGGCGAGGCGGAGCCCUCGCCGCUCGGGCUGCUGCUGAGCUGCGGUAGCGGCAGCGCGGUCCCGGCGCCCGGCGUGGGGCAGCAGCGCGACGCCGCCAGCGACCUCGAGUCCAAGCAGCUGGGCGGCCAACAGCCGCCGCUCGCGCUGCCCCCUCCGCCGCCGCUGCCGCUGCCCCAGCCCCCGCCGCCGCAGCCGCCCGCAGACGAGCAGCCGGAGCCCCGGACGCGGCGCAGGGCCUAUCUGUGGUGCAAGGAGUUCCUGCCCGGCGCCUGGCGGGGCCUCCGCGAGGACGAGUUCCACAUCAGUGUCAUCAGAGGCGGCCUUAGCAACAUGCUGUUCCAGUGCUCCCUACCUGACACCACAGCCACCCUUGGCGAUGAGCCUCGGAAAGUGCUCCUGCGGCUGUAUGGAGCGAUUUUGCAGAUGAGGUCCUGUAAUAAAGAGGGAUCCGAACAAGCUCAGAAAGAAAAUGAAUUUCAAGGGGCCGAGGCCAUGGUUCUGGAGAGCGUUAUGUUUGCCAUUCUCGCAGAGAGGUCACUUGGGCCAAAACUCUAUGGCAUCUUUCCCCAAGGCCGACUGGAGCAGUUCAUCCCGAGCCGGCGAUUAGAUACUGAAGAAUUAAGUUUGCCAGAUAUUUCUGCAGAAAUCGCCGAGAAAAUGGCUACAUUUCAUGGUAUGAAAAUGCCAUUCAAUAAGGAACCAAAAUGGCUUUUUGGCACAAUGGAAAAGUAUCUAAAGGAAGUACUGAGAAUUAAAUUUACUGAGGAAUCCAGCAUUAAAAAGCUCCACAGAUUGCUCAGUUACAAUCUGCCCUUGGAACUGGAAAACCUGAGAUCAUUGCUUGAAUCUACUCCAUCUCCAGUUGUAUUUUGUCAUAAUGACUGUCAAGAAGGUAAUAUCUUGUUGCUGGAAGGCCGAGAGAAUUCUGAAAAACAGAAACUGAUGCUCAUUGAUUUCGAAUACAGCAGUUACAAUUACAGGGGAUUCGACAUUGGAAAUCACUUCUGUGAGUGGAUGUAUGAUUAUAGCUAUGAAAAAUACCCUUUUUUCAGAGCAAACAUCCGGAAGUAUCCCACCAAGAAACAACAGCUCCAUUUUAUUUCCAGUUACUUGCCUGCAUUCCAAAAUGACUUUGAAAACCUCAGUACUGAAGAAAAAUCCAUUAUAAAAGAAGAAAUGUUGCUUGAAGUCAAUAGGUUUGCCCUUGCAUCUCAUUUCCUCUGGGGACUUUGGUCCAUUGUACAAGCCAAGAUUUCGUCUAUUGAAUUUGGGUACAUGUACCUGAAUGUGGUGACCUGGUGGCAUCAGGACAGUGUGGCUCAGCCCAGGAAGCCGGGGGAGAAGCCGCUGUCACUGAUGCCGUGGUUGCCUUUGGAGGUUGCCCUCACUUCCAGGCCAGCUGACCUUGCCUCCCCUGCUUCAGAGAAGUGCCUGCAAUCCUGAUGGGGAAUGUAGGCAUCUGCACCCUCGAAGUCCAGCUCUGACCUCAGUCCCUUCUGACAUGGGACAGACUACGCCCAAGCAAGGUUUGAUGCCUAUUUCCACCAGAAGAGGAAGCUUGGGGUGUGACUGUGGGGAGGACUCCAUCCACCUCAUCACUGGACUGCAUGGGGAGGCAGCAGAGCGGGGUCCCCUCUGUGCUUCGACUACUGCUCCUGUGGCAGGAGGCUUUGGGUGGCUCACUACUGAACACGUGUGUAUGAUACUAAAGACGGUAUUAAAAUGGAGCGACGUUUAUUUCAUCUCUUGUUUACGAUUUCACUAGGACUCAGAAACGAGAUCGGGAAGCAGAAAUAUAGUGCAAUAGUGCAACAUCUCUGAAUCCUUUUAAUCUAGAGAAGGCGUUUCAUAUUUGGGGGCUAAGGUUUCCAGUCAGAUGAGGCAAACAGCAAGAGUAAGCAGUGUUACUUGCAGGUACUUUGGUUAAUGUUGAUUUAAAUUUUCUUUUCAUGAAUGUGCUGAUGAACACUGUGACCAGGCUUUUGUAGAUGGCGAUGUGUUAUAGACGGUGCUCACUCCCAAGGGACAGCAAGUGAGCAGAGAUGUACUGCGAAGUCGCCAGUCACUGCUGCAAGGUGGCCUCUGCCUGGGGCCUCCGGAAGCUGCUCCUCUACCCUCUUGGUCCCAUGGCUGAAGCUGGAGCAGCGGAUUGCUCUGGAGCAGCCAAGGCCACCUGCGUGUGGAGCAGAGCUCUCCCCUCCUGCUGGGCGUGUGUGACACUGAUGAGUUUCACUGUACUGCAUGUGACUUCUCCCCUGCCCUUCCUCCUGAUGGAGUGUGCAGACAGCCAUGCGUGGCCACGGGGGCAGUGUGAGGACCUCCCUGUCUCCCGGCUCCCCUCCCAGGGGAGCCAGCUGCUUGACCUGGCUCUUUGGGCCUCUCCUGCCCUCUGCUGUGCCUGGAGUGUCGGAUCCUGUGAGUAGGCUGGGCCGCCCCUGGGCAGGGUUCUCCGAGGGCCCGGUUUCCCGGCCCUUACCUUUCCUGAUGCCCCUGACAUCAUCAUUCUUGUGGGAGACAGCAGCCUGUAUGUGGUGUGGGGCGUGGAUCGAGUGUAGCUGUGAAAUCCAUAUAUAUGAAAUGUCCCGCGGGAUACAGUCUUAGCUGACUUUUUUUUUACUCUGAACUCUUAUUUGAAUUGCUUUUUGUGCAUAUAUUUCUGCUACCACAGAGAUUGUACUAUACAAAUAAAAAAAUAAAAACCCAACCUCAA